GACGAACGCUGGCGGCGUGCCUAAUACAUGCAAGUAGAACGAGUUGCGAACGGGUGAGUAACGCGUGGUAACCUGCCUCAUAACGGGGGAUAACUACUGGAACCGGUAGCUAAUACCGCCUCCCAUCAGAUGUGCCCAAAGGGGAUUAGACAGUUGGUGGGGGAACGGCGCACAAAGGCGACGAACCCUAGCUGGUCUGAGAGGAUGACCAGCCACACGGGAACUGAGACACGGUCCAGACUCCUACGGGAGGCAGCAGUGGGGAAUAUUGCACAAUGGGCGCAAGCCGGAUGCAGCCAUGCCGCGUGUAUGAAGAAGGCCUUCGGGUUGUAAAGUACUUUCAGCGGGGAGGCGUUACCCGCAGAAGAAGCACCGGCUAACUCCGUGCCAGCAGCCGCGGUAAUUC
rnacentral:rRNA from 1 species